UACGUAGGGUCCGAGCGUUGUCCGGAAUUAUUGGGCGUAAAGGGCUCGUAGGCGGUUCGUCACGUCGGGAGUGAAAACUCGAGGCUCAACCUCGAGACGUCGGUUGAAACCGUAAGGCUAGAGUCCGGAAGAGGAGAGUGGAAUUCCCGGUGUAGCGGUGAAAUGCGCAGAUAUCGGGAAGAACACCCGUGGCGAAGGCGGCUCUCUGGGACGGUACUGACGCUGAGACGCGAAAGCGUGGGGAGCGAACAGG
rnacentral:rRNA from 1 species